UAGGAAAUCUUCCACAAUGGGCGCAAGCCUGAUGGAGCAACACCGCGUGAGUGAAGAAGGGUUUCGGAUCGUAAAACUCUGUUGUUAAAGAAGAACACGUAUGAGAGUAACUGUUCAUACGUUGACGGUAUUUAACCAGAAAGUCACGGCUAACUACGCGCCAG
rnacentral:rRNA from 1 species